GAUGAGGCGGCACACCCCGAGGAGGUCGAGACCUCCGCUACUUCCUGAUCCAGUGAGGUCCGUGACCUGAGGGCCCAGCUUGCGGUUCUCACUGAUCUGUUGGCGCAGCAGACGGCAGCGGCGCAGCGACAGGCCGAGGUGGCUCAGCGGCAGGAGGCGCGGAUGAAGCAUCUGGAGGAUCUCCUACUUCAGCAGGCGGCAG
rnacentral:lncRNA from 1 species